CCUGAAAGGUUUUGCGAACCUCCAUUUUAUAUUCACAACAGCUCUCAAACUUAAGGGUUCCUGGCUCCUUUCAGAAUUAGGUCACAGUAAGCCAUGUGUUGAAUUGCAGACAGAAGCAAAUGUGAUGAAAUGUCAUGGGUGAACCAGAAGCCUGUGGAGUAUAUGUGGAUUGACUACAAACAAAAACAGCUGAAAUCUCAUAAAAGAACAAUUGUUUAAUAUAUUUGAAGACCGAAGAGCUUCAGAUAAUUGUUAUGUAAACCUCAAAACUUUUUGAGAUUUAACCAGUGUUACAUUUAUCCUUACAGGAGACUUCUCCAUUGGCAACUGACUUCAGUAAUUCACUGUCAUUUAAUAAAAUAUUAUGCUGUUA